rnacentral:rRNA from 1 species
UAAAGAUUCAUCGCUGAUAGAUAGGCAUGCGUUCCAUUAGGCAGUUGGCGGGGUAACGGCCCACCAAACCGACGAUGGAUAGGGGUUCUGAGAGGAAGGUCCCCCACAUUGGUACUGAGACACGGACCAAACUCCUACGGGAGGCAGCAGUGAGGAAUAUUGGUCAAUGGGCGUAAGCCUGAACCAGCCAAGUCGCGUGAGGGAUGAAGGUUCUAUGGAUCGUAAACCUCUUUUAUAAGGGAAUAAAGUGUGGGACGUGUCCUAUUUUGUAUGUACCUUAUGAAUAAGGAUCGGCUAACUCCGUGCCAGCAGCCGCGGUAAUACGGAGGAUCCGAGCGUUAUCCGGAUUUAUUGGGUUUAAAGGGUGCGUAGGCGGCCUUUUAAGUCAGCGGUGAAAGUCUGUGGCUCAACCAUAGAAUUGCCGUUGAAACUGGGGGGCUUGAGUAUGUUUGAGGCAGGCGGAAUGCGUGGUGUAGCGGUGAGAUGCUUAGAUAUCACGCAGAACCCCGAUUGCGAAGGCAGCCUGCCAAGCCAUGACUGACGCUGAUGCACGAAAGCGUGGGGAUCAAACAGGAUUAGAUACCCUGGUAGUCCACGCAGU